rnacentral:rRNA from 1 species
CUCAAAGGAGACUGCCAGUGAUAAACUGGAGGAAGGUGGGGAUGACGUCAAGUCAUCAUGGCCCUUACGACCAGGGCUACACACGUGCUACAAUGGCGCAUACAAAGAGAAGCGACCUCGCGAGAGCAAGCGGACCUCAUAAAGUGCGUCGUAGUCCGGAUUGGAGUCUGCAACUCGACUCCAUGAAGUCGGAAUCGCUAGUAAUCGUGGAUCAGAAUGCCACGGUGAAUACGUUCCCGGGCCUU